rnacentral:rRNA from 1 species
UGGGGAAUUUUGGACAAUGGGCGAAAGCCUGAUCCAGCAAUGCCGCGUGUGUGAAGAAGGCCUUCGGGUUGUAAAGCACUUUUGUCCGGAAAGAAAUCCUUGGCUCUAAUACAGUCGGGGGAUGACGGUACCGGAAGAAUAAGCACCGGCUAACUACGUGCCAGCAGCCGCGGUAAUACGUAGGGUGCAAGCGUUAAUCGGAAUUACUGGGCGUAAAGCGUGCGCAGGCGGUUUGCUAAGACCGAUGUGAAAUCCCCGGGCUCAACCUGGGAACUGCAUUGGUGACUGGCAGGCUAGAGUAUGGCAGAGGGGGGUAGAAUUCCACGUGUAGCAGUGAAAUGCGUAGAGAUGUGGAGGAAUACCGAUGGCGAAGGCAGCCCCCUGGGCCAAAUACUGACGCUCAUGCACGAAAGCGUGGGGAGCAAACAGGAUUAGAUACCCUGGUAGUCCACGCCCUAAACGAUGUCAACUAGUUGUUGGGGAUUCAUUUCCUUAGUAACGUAGCUAACGCGUGAAGUUGACCGCCUGGGGAGUGCGGUCGCAAGAUU